rnacentral:rRNA from 1 species
AGCUCCAAUAGCGUAUAUUAAAGUUGUUGUGGUUAAAAAGCUCGUAGUUGGAUCUCGGCGGUCUGAGGGCGGUUCGCUUGAUUGAGUGCUACUGCUCUAUAGGCCGUGGUUUUGCCAGAGGUCUCGGGGUGCUCUUAACCGAGUGUCCUGCGAUGCUGGCAGGUUUACUUUGAAAAAAUUAGAGUGCUCAAAGCAGGCUUUUACGCCUGAAUAUUCGUGCAUGGAAUAAUAGAAUAGGAAGUCGUUUCUAUUUUGUUGGUUUUCGGAAAUCGACUUAAUGAUUAAUAGGGACAGUCGGGGGCAUUUGUAUUCAAACGACAGAGGUGAAAUUCUUGGACCGUUUGAAGACAAACUACUGCGAAAGCAUUUGCCAAGAAUGUUUUCAU